AGGACGAACGCUGGCGGCGUGCUUAACACAUGCAAGUCGAGCGGAAAGGCCCUUCGGGGUACUCGAGCGGCGAACGGGUGAGUAACACGUGAGUAAUCUGCCCCUAGCUCUGGGAUAGCUCCGGGAAACCGGGAUUAAUACCGGAUACGACCACCUUAGACAUCUUUUGUGGUGGAAAGAAUUUCGGCUAGGGAUGAGCUCGCGGCCUAUCAGCUUGUUGGUGGGGUAACGCCUACCAAGGCGACGAC
rnacentral:rRNA from 1 species